UAUGUGUGUAUAUCUGGCAGAAACGUUAGCACGCCGGGCGAAAUGCGUAGCCGUAUUUCGUCUGCCGUUACGUUCUGAGUUCAAACUCCGCCGAGGUCGAUUUUGCCUUUCAUCCUUUCGGGGUCGAUAAAUUAAGUAAAAGUUACGCACUGGGGUCGAUGUAAUC
rnacentral:lncRNA from 1 species